CCUCAGUAACGGCGAGUGAAGCGGCAAAAGCUCAAAUUUGAAAUCUAGCACCUUCGGUGUUCGAGUUGUAAUUUGAAGAUGGCAACCUUGGGUUUGGCUCUUGUCUAUGUUCCUUGGAACAGGACGUCAUAGAGGGUGAGAAUCCCGUCUGAUGAGAUGCCCAUUCCUUUGUAAGGUGCUAUCGAAGAGUCGAGUUGUUUGGGAAUGCAGCUCUAAGUGGGUGGUAAAUUCCAUCUAAAGCUAAAUAUUGGCGAGAGACCGAUAGCGAACAAGUACAGUGAUGGAAAGAUGAAAAGAACUUUGAAAAGAGAGUGAAAAAGUACGUGAAAUUGUUGAAAGGGAAGGGCAUUAGAUCAGACUUGGUGUUUUACGAUUAUCUUCUCUUCUUGAGUUGUGCACUCGUAUUUCACUGGGCCAGCAUCGAUUCGGAUGGUAAGAUAAGAACAGUUGAAUGUGGCUCUUCGGAGUGUUAUAGCUUCUGUUGAUAUUGCCUGUCUGGAUCGAGGGCUGCGUCUUUUGACUAGGAUGCUGGCGUAAUGAUCUAAUGCCGCCCGUCUUGAAACACGGACCAAGGAGUCUAACGUCUAUGCGAGUGUUUGGGUGUAAAACCCGUACGCGUAAUGAAAGUGAACGUAGGUGAGAGCUCUUUUGAGUGCAUCAUCGACCGAUCCUGAUGUUUUCGGAUGGAUUUGAGUAAGAGCAUAGCUGUUGGGACCCGAAAGAUGGUGAACUAUGCCUGAAUAGGGUGAAGCCAGAGGAAACUCUGGUGGAGGCUCGUAGCGGUUCUGACGUGCAAAUCGAUCGUCGAAUUUGGGUAUAGGGGCGAAAGAC
rnacentral:rRNA from 1 species